AUAAUAAUAAUCAAGUUUCACCCUUGAGCUGAGGGAUGGGGAGGGGGGGAGGGACUCAAACGGUGGCUCUGGGACACCUUCAGCGGCCGGUUGGUGCCUUCGGCCUCUGAGGGGAGGAAGAGGAGGAGGAGGAAGAUGAGGAAAAGGAGGAGGAAGAUGAUGAGGAGGAGGAUGAGGAGGACGAGCAGCAGCCGCCCUGCAUGGGGGCGCCCCUCUCCGCCUCCACAGAGCGGGCACGGGGCCGCGUGUGAGGGAAGAGGAGGAGGAGGGUGAUGUGGAUGAUGAUGAUGAUGAAGGUGAGGAGGAGGAGGAAGAUGAGGAGGAGGCGCGGUGUAGCACCCCUGGACCAUGACCCUGAAGACCAGAAGAGUGGAGACACCGAGCACCUUUUGGAGACCACCAAUAUUUGUGUAAAUUCACUGAUUUCUCCCUCCCGACCAUCUCGGAGGUCUUCUCCAACCUUGACGCUUCGGUGAUGUCAGGCUCCGGUGAGGCCAUCAGAGGAUCUCAGGAUCUUUUCUGACAGCCACCUGAGCUGAAAUGCUGGAGGCUGCUUCCAUGUGCUGUCUGCGUGCCCCGUGGUGGAUGAUUUCAGUCUAAAAAGUUGCCCCUAAGUGCCUUGUGGGGCCGUAAUUGGGAGCACCAACCUAAAGUUCCUCAAGCUUUUCCUUAUUGCCUCUGUCACUCCAUCUCAUUU